GAUGAAGAACGUAGUGAAAUGCGAUAAGUAAUGUGAAUUGCAGAAUUCAGUGAAUCAUCGAAUCUUUGAACGCACAUUGCGCCCUCUGGUAUUCCGGAGGGCAUGCCUGUUCGAGCGUCAUUAUAACCACUCAAGCUCUCGCUUGGUAUUGGGGUUCGCGGUUCCGCGGCCCCUAAAAUCAGUGGCGGUGCCUGUCGGCUCUACGCGUAGUAAUACUCCUCGCGAUUGAGUCCGGUAGGUCUACUUGCCAGCAACCCCCAAUUUUUACAGGUUGACCUCGGAUCAGGUAGGGAUACCCGCUGAACUUAAGCAUAUCAAUAAGCGGAGGA
rnacentral:misc_RNA from 1 species